AGCUUUAGCUUCCUUGAAUAAUGGU
rnacentral:piRNA from 1 species